rnacentral:lncRNA from 1 species
AAAUGCGUGUUCAUUUAGGUGGAUGCUCUGAUUGGCAUUCUUCUCCACCAUAAAGGAUUACAAGUGGAAAGAGCUCAUUACAAACCACAAUUUUGUCUGCAAACAUGUUCAAACCACUUCAGCGCAGCUCUUCAAGCAUGUAAGCAUGUUUGCACCAAAAAAUUCGGUAGCAUCUUUUUUUUUUGAAUCGUAUAUAGCCAAAUGCUCUUUCAGAAUGUCACUGAAACAUAGGGCAUACAUGGGUUAGAACAAAACAGAUGUUUUCUUAAUACCUUAGGAAGCAUAAUAUAUCCAUUUCAACUUUUCUUUCGAUUACCUGCAUCUGCAUGCUCAGUAUUCAACAUGUCUUCCCAAGCACUUUUACAUUUUGUCUAAUCUGUGCAUGUUGCUCCAUAGCUAGCUUCACCAUCAAAACAAUACAUAUAUAUUUUCAAAGACCAAAAGUGCAGGCAUUCAUGGUGUGGCCUUAUGAUCCAAGGGCAAUAUUAAUGUUAGAAAGGUAAUGAUACACUCUUGACUGAAUUUAAUAGCAGCACUGAUCUCUUGCAAAAAGAAAUAGAAUCACGCUAGUAAAUUAUAUGAAGAAUACUUGUCAUGAUUCACUUCCAAAUUAUUGUUGCAGAUAUUCUUUACAACUCCUCAAUUGAAAAUGUCACACAGGGUGAAGUAUCAUAUCAACUGUGACAAAAUCUAAGAUCCCUCUCUAUUUUCUGGCCUUAAUCUUUAUAGAAGUAUAAGAACUUACCCUAAAAUCAAUUUUGAUUGCUUCAUUUAUUUGUCAGCUUAUAAGACGUAUCGCAAACAAUGAGAAUAUUUUCCAGAAAAAAAUCUAAAAGCAUAUUGUAUUACUGGCCUCCUGUGCAUUCGACCAAAAAAAAAAACAGAGGCAAUCAUCUAUUCAUGUGCAGUACUGUGUACGGAUAAACAGAGCUACAGUACAGGGGUCUUAAGCAAUUCAUUGCCUGGACCAUUAGGGUGUGUUUAGUUCACGCUAAAAUUAGAAGUUUGUUUGAAAUUGGAACGAUGUGAUGGAAAAGUUUGAAGUUUGUGUGUGUAGGAAAGUUUUGAUGUGAUGGAAAAGUUUGAAGUUUAAAGAAAACUUUUGCAACUAAACACGGCUAAAGAACCAACCUGGUGAAGCAAACAACCGGCGACGCAAGAUUGCCAAUUUCCUUUUCCUCCGAAUGACCAAAGACUGGUACGAAGGACCAGAAUUGAACGAGGUAGCUAAAAAAAAAGGUAACAUGAUCAAACUUUCCAAAAGCAAAGGACAAAGACAAAUUCAAAUCUAAUAGGCAUCGACAAGCACAGCACGCUAGUCAUACGAUAAACAACUGGAAACGAGAGAAGUGACGUUUACAUUUCGGGCAAAAGGGGAGUAAAAAUGAAUAUAGUAACGAAGGAAAAGGCAAUUACCGGUUGAUCGUGUUGAUUCACAUGCUGGCCGUGAGGAAGAACUCCUACCACGAAGGAUUGCGGCACGAUGAGCUCUAGCAGAUGAUGCAGACGGCAUAAACCAAUACGACCAAGUAAGUAUACCCAGUGCCUAAUAAGAUUUCACAAGUAAGAACAUGGAUAUCAUAAUUUUACAGAAACAAGGAGGCGUAUGAUCAUUAUAACAUUAACACAGUAUAAAUAAAAGAACAGGGCAAGCGUCGGGAGGGAAAAAAAGGAACAAAGAAGAAACAAAUAACGAACCGGUCGUAGAAAGGAAAACAAAAGAGCUAGCACUGAUGCACAGAGUAACCAUAUAAAGGGGAGGGGCAAGAAGGCACAGCAAGCAAGGGCAUGGAC